GCGAGGAGCAGGUGUCUGGUGCUAAAG
rnacentral:piRNA from 1 species